UACGUAGGUGGCAAGCGUUGUCCGGAAUUAUUGGGCGUAAAGCGCGCGCAGGCGGUCCUUUAAGUCUGAUGUGAAAGCCCACGGCUCAACCGUGGAGGGUCAUUGGAAACUGGGGGACUUGAGUGCAGAAGAGGAAAGUGGAAUUCCACGUGUAGCGGUGAAAUGCGUAGAGAUGUGGGGGAACACCAGUGGCGAAGGCGACUUUCUGGUCUGUAACUGACGCUGAGGCGCGAAAGCGUGGGGAGCAAACAGG
rnacentral:rRNA from 1 species